CUCCAGUCCGGGCGACAGAGCGAGACUCCGCCUCAAAAAAAAAAAAAUCUAAAAAUAAAAGGCAAUUCUGACUUCACCUCUGCUUGAGUCAUUAUUUUAAGUAGCAUUUAGGGCCUUUACUAAAAAACAGAACUAAAAUGAAAAGGUACACAAAGCUGUCCCAUGUCUGCCUGUGCUGACUCAUGAAACUCGAUCACACCGAAGCCCUGUGGGAGCGUCCUCCUAACAGACGGAAGUUCAACGGGGCGGCCGGAUGGAAGCAGUCCUGAGAAGCAGGUGGGCCGGGGAGAGCAGGAGCCUGGGGUUGAGGCCCAGGGUCCUGGCCUGCUGCUGUGGAUGGAAACUGACACAUGGCAAAUAUGUAAUGGUCUUUAUGGAUAGCUGGAACAGAACAAAAAAUCUAUGAUUCCUGUAGCCUGAACUCAGCCUGUUAAGCAAAAGUAUCAAGUGUUCCCCCUGCCCAGUAAGAGGAGGAUUUUAACAAAUGGAACGAGUCAGCUAACAGUCUCCAAUAUUUUAAAAUUUUCAAUCAGGAUUUCAUAAACUCAUCUGGGGUGGGGAUGGGUCGCAGCUUUAAGAAUCUGAUAACCGUUGUGGAUUCUUUAACAAAAUCACACCUACGCCUACUAUUUCAUCAUCAUUUCAGGGGAUUCAUCAGCUCUCUGGAAUAAGUUCACGGGCUCUGGUUUAAAAGUAUAAAGAAUAGGAGGUGGUGAGGAAGGAGUGUGUGCGAGUUAGGAAUGCUGGACCGCUGUGUCCCAGGCUCAGCUCACAACAGGCGUGUGCCUGCAUGCAGCUCAUUCUGAUUUGGGAUAAGUGUCAAGUAUAUUACAUGUCUGAUAAUCCAUUUUAAAUCUUAGGAAGCUCCAGUUUUUAACUUGAUGAAGUGUUUAAUUUGAAUAAGCAUUUCCAAGUAAUGGGGUUGUCACUGUUUUCAUGAAAGCUGACAGCUCCCUAAAAAUCCCCAUUACUCAAACCUCACCAACAAAAGAAGCCUAAAGCUGGUGAUGUUUGGCGUGACUUAAAAGUUUAGAUGUUUUGGCUGGGCACGGUGGAUCAUGCCUGUAAUCCCACCACUUUGGGAGGCUGAGAUGGGUGAAUCACCUGAGGUCAGGAGUUUGAGACCAACCUGGACAACGUGGUGAAACCCCAUC